CCCUUAGAUGGUCUGGGCCGCACGCGCGCUACACUGAUGCAUUCAACGAGUUUCUUCCUGGUCCGAGAGGAAUGGGUAACCUUUUGAAAGUGCAUCGUGAUAGGGAUAGACUAUUGCAAUUAUUGGUCUUCAACGAGGAAUUCCUAGUAGACGUAGUUCAUCAGACUGCAUCGAUUACGUCCCUGCCCUUUGUACACACCGCCCGUCGCUCCUACCGAUUGAAUGCUCAGGUGAGCCAUUCGGACCUUCAUCAUGCCGGUUUCCGGUUUUGAUGAGGGAAAGUCUUGCGAACCUUAUCAUUUAGAGGAAGGAGAAGUCGUAACA
rnacentral:rRNA from 1 species